rnacentral:rRNA from 1 species
AGUGAACGCUGGCGGCGUGCUUAACACAUGCAAGUCGAACGAGAACGGAUUAUAGCUUGCUAUAAUUGUCAGCUAAGUGGCGCACGGGUGAGUAAUGUAUAGGUAAUAUGCCUCUUACUAAGGGAUAACAAAUGGAAACGUUUGCUAAUACCUUAUACUCCUUAUUAACAGAAGUUAAUAAGGGAAAGAUUUAUUGGUAAGAGAUUAGCCUGUAUUGUAUCAGUUAGUUGGUGGGGUAAUGGCUUACCAAGACUAUGACACAUAACUGGGUUUGGAGGAUGAUCAGUCACACUGGAACUGAGACACGGUCCAGACUCCUACGGGAGGCAGCAGUGGGGAAUAUUGCACAAGGGACGAAAGACUGAUGCAGCAACGCCGCGUGGAGGAUGACACAUUUCGGUGCGUAAACUCCUUUUAUGUGAGAAGAUAAUGACGGUAUUAUAUGAAUAAGCACCGGCUAACUCCGUGCCAGCCGCCGCCGUAA